rnacentral:rRNA from 1 species
UACGUAGGGUCCGAGCGUUGUCCGGAAUUACUGGGCGUAAAGAGCUCGUAGGUGGUUUGUCGCGUUGUUCGUGAAAACUCACAGCUCAACUGUGGGCGUGCGGGCGAUACGGGCAGACUAGAGUACUGCAGGGGAGACUGGAAUUCCUGGUGUAGCGGUGGAAUGCGCAGAUAUCAGGAGGAACACCGGUGGCGAAGGCGGGUCUCUGG